GCCUGGGUAGCUCAGUCGGUUAAGCGCCUGACUUCGGCUCAGGUCAUGAUCUCAGCAGUUUGUGAGUUCGAGACCCGUGUCGGGCU
rnacentral:tRNA from 1 species